CCUACGGGAGGCAGCAGUGAGGAAUAUUGGUCAAUGGGCGUAAGCCUGAACCAGCCAAGUCGCGUGAGGGAUGAAGGUUCUAUGGAUCGUACACCUCUUUUAUAAGGGAAUAAAGUGUGGGACGUGUCCGGUUUUGUAUGUACCUUAUGAAUAAGGAUCGGCUAACUCCGUGCCAGCAGCCGCGGUAAUACGGAGGAUCCGAGCGUUAUCCGGAUUUAUUGGGUUUAAAGGGAGCGUAGGUUGAUUGUUAAGUCAGUUGUGAAAGUUUGCGGCUCAACCGUAAAAUUGCAGUUGAAACUGGGAGUCUUGAGUACAGUAGCGGUUGGCGGAAUGCGUGGUGUAGCGGUGAAAUGCUUAGAUAUCACGAAGAACUCCGAUUGCGAAGGCAGCUCACUGGACUGCAACUGACACUGAGGCUCGAAAGUGUGGGUAUCAAACAGGAGUAGAGACCCUUGUAGUC
rnacentral:rRNA from 1 species